rnacentral:rRNA from 1 species
AUGCAUAGCCGACCUGAGAGGGUGAUCGGCCACAUUGGGACUGAGACACGGCCCAAACUCCUACGGGAGGCAGCAGUAGGGAAUCUUCGGCAAUGGACGAAAGUCUGACCGAGCAACGCCGCGUGAGUGAAGAAGGUUUUCGGAUCGUAAAACUCUGUUGUUAGAGAAGAACAAGGAUGAGAGUAACUGUUCAUCCCUUGACGGUAUCUAACCAGAAAGCCACGGCUAACUACGUGCCAGCAGCCGCGGUAAUACGUAGGUGGCAAGCGUUGUCCGGAUUUAUUGGGCGUAAAGCGAGCGCAGGCGGUUUCUUAAGUCUGAUGUGAAAGCCCCCGGCUCAACCGGGGAGGGUCAUUGGAAACUGGGAGACUUGAGUGCAGAAGAGGAGAGUGGAAUUCCAUGUG